GACGAACGCUGGAGGCGUGCUUAACACAUGCAAGUCGAACGAUGAAAUGGAGCUUGCUCCAUGGAUUAGUGGCGAACGGGUGAGUAACACGUGAAUAACCUGCCCUUAAUUUUGGAAUAACCCAGGGAAACCUGGGCUAAUACCGGAUAAGUAAACCUGUGGCAUCACAUGGUUUUGGAAAGUUUUUCGAUUAAGGAUGGAUUCGCGGCCUAUUAGCUUGUUGGUGAGGUAAUGGCUCACCAAGGCGACGACGGGUAGCCGGCCUGAGAGGGUGAACGGCCACACUGGGACUGAGACACGGCCCAGACUCCUACGGGAGGCAGCAGUGGGGAAUAUUGCGCAAGGGACGAAAGUCUGACGCAGCGACGCCUCGUGAGGGACGAAGGUCUUCGGAUUGUAAACCUCUUUCAGCAGGGACGAAGCGAAAGUGACGGUACCUGCAGAAGAAGCACCGGCUAACUAUGUGCCAGCAGCCGCCGUAA
rnacentral:rRNA from 1 species